GAUGAACGCUGGCGGCGUGCCUAAUACAUGCAAGUCGAGCGAACAGAUGAGGAGCUUGCUCCUCUGACGUUAGCGGCGGACGGGUGAGUAACACGUGGAUAACCUACCUAUAAGACUGGGAUAACUACGGGAAACCGGAGCUAAUACCGGAUAAUAUAUUGAACUGCAUGGUUCAAUAGUGAAAGACGGUUUUGCUGUCACUUAUAGAUGGAUCCGCGCCGCAUUAGCUAGUUGGUAAGGUAACGGCUUACCAAGGCAACGAUGCGUAGCCGACCUGAGAGGGUGAUCGGCCACACUGGAACUGAGACACGGUCCAGACUCCUACGGGAGGCAGCAGUAGGGAAUCUUCCGCAAUGGGCGAAAGCCUGACGGAGCAACGCCGCGUGAGUGAUGAAGGUCUUCGGAUCGUAAAACUCUGUUAUUAGGGAAGAACAAAUGUGUAAGUAACUAUGCACGUCUUGACGGUACCUAAUCAGAAAGCCACGGCUAACUACGUG
rnacentral:rRNA from 1 species